GACGAACGCUGGCGGCGUGCCUAAUACAUGCAAGUCGAACGCAGUUGCGAACGGGUGAGUAACACGUAGGUAACUGCCUCAUAGCGGGGGAUUACUUUCGGAAACGAUAGCUAAUACCGCAUACUGUGAGCUGGAUCUGCGUUGUUUUGUCUAGUGGGAGAGGUAAAGGCUCACCAAGGCGCCGAUACAUAGCCGGCCUGAGAGGGGUGACGGCCACACUGGGACUGGGACACGGGCCAGACUCCUUCUGGAGGCAACAGUAGGGAAUCUUCGGCAAUGGGCGGCAGUCUGACCGAGCAACGCCGCGUGAGAGAAGAAGGUUGUCGGAUCGUUAAGCUCUGUUCUUAGAGAAGCGUUAACUGAAGAGGAAGGAACGGCUAACUACGUGCCAGCAGCCGCGGUAAUUC
rnacentral:rRNA from 1 species